UUCACGGCCUUCACCACACCACACUAGAUACUAUAUAUGGAACCAGCGGGCCAUGUCGCCAUUGUCCCAACUCCAGGUUUAGGCCACCUGAUCCCGCUCACCGAGCUGGCCAAACGACUCGUCGUCCACCACAACUUCGCCGUCACCUUCUUCAUCCCCAACGACGGCACGAACCUGACACCGCAAAAGAAAGUCCUGCAAGCUUUGCCGAAGGUCGUAUCCUCCACCUUCCUCCCUCCCGUCAACUUCGACGACCUCCCACCAGACGCCGUGAUGGAAACCAAGAUUGCUCUCACCUUGUCUCGGUCACUCCCCGCUAUCCGCGACUCAGUUAAAGCCCUAGCCGAGUCGACUAUGGUUAAGGCGCUUGUUGUUGAUCUCUUUGGCCUUGAGGCCUUUGAAGUGGCCAAUGAGUUUAAUGUGCUGCCCUACCUUUUCUUCCCUACUACGGCGAUGCUUUUGUGGUUUGCGUUUGAGUUGCCAAAGCUUGACGAGACUACUACUUGUGAGUAUAGGGACUUGCCUGAACCGGUCCGGCUUCCGGGUUGUGUUCCGCUGCAUGGUAGAGAUUUCUCAGAACCGGUUCAAGAUCGGAGUGACGAUGCUUACAAGGCGUUGGUCGGAAUAUGUAAGAGGUUUAAAUCGGCUGCUGGGAUCAUGGUGAAUAGCUUUGCGGAUUUGGAACCGGGUGCUUUCAAGGCUUUCAAGGAGCAAGGACCAGGUCUCGGCCUUCCACCGGUUUACCCGGUCGGACCGGUGAUUCAGACCGGUUCGGCGGCUGAGUUAGGUGAGAAUGAGUGCUUGAGCUGGUUGGAUGCUCAGCCAAAGAGGUCAGUGUUGUAUGUUUCGUUUGGAAGUGGUGGAACCCUCACUAGUAAACAAAUGAAUGAGUUGGCCGCAGGGAUUGAAAUGAGUAGGGUGAGAUUCCUUUGGGUUGCUAGGAGUCCAAAUGAGAAACUGAAAAAUGCUACAUAUUUUGGUGCUCAAGGUCCCAACGAUCCCUUAAGUUUUCUACCCCAAGGGUUCUUAGAGAGAACCAAAGAUGUAGGUAAGGUUGUAAGCUCUUGGGCACCCCAGGUCCAAAUUUUGAGUCACGAGUCGACGGGCGGGUUUUUGACGCAUUGCGGGUGGAACUCGACGCUAGAGAGCAUUGUCAAUGGUGUGCCUUUGAUUGCUUGGCCACUCUAUGCCGAGCAAAAGACGAACGCAGUUUUGCUUGCUGAAGGAAUAAAGGUAGCAUGGAGGGUUAAGGUGAAUGAUAAGGGCAUAGUGGAGCGUGAAGAGAUUUGCAAGUAUGCGAAGGGACUGAUUGAAGGGGACGAAGGGAAAGUGCUCAGAAAGAAGAUGAUGGAGCUGAAAAAGGCAUCUCAACUGGCUUUGAGCCCUGAUGGGUCGUCUACAAAAUCACUCUCGGAAGUAGCCAAUAUGUGGAAGGAACACAAGAACUGAUCUGCACGUACAUUGUGUCAACUAAUGUAUGUUUUGGUAACAAAUUGGAUGAGACUAGUUUCAUCUUGCAUGCUUCAUAGUUACCUUGUUUGUUAGUUCACUAUAUUGAAAGUUUGCAAGCAUAUUAUAAGGAUAUAAUAAGGACAGAAAACGUGGUACUGCUAUAUUACCUAUGUAUGGUUGUUCGAUCAAGCGCCCAGAUCAUGGACCCCCGAAACUUAAUCAACGAUAAUGUAAUUGAUUUUUGAAACUAGAUAGUAUCAUCAUAAAUUUGAAUCAAGACUCAAGACUGGACGUGUUGACGUAUGUUAGCUUUUUACUUGUGCAUCUGCACGGAGGAUGAAAAAAUAGAAAAUGUUUCACUCAAACUACUCCACCGGGAUAAAUCAGCUAAUUUUAUUUUUUUGUAAAUAAUUGUUUCAUGAAAAGUGAGAUGAAACUACCACGUUCUUUUUUUUUUUUAUUUUUUUUAAUUUAUGGUGUUUAUGGUAAAACCUAUAAUAAAUAUUAAUUUUAGUUCUUUAAGAAAUUUUUACUAACUUGAUUUUUUGGCUAAUUCAAAAAAAUAUUUCAUCAAAGACACCAAAAGAGUGCGUAGUUUUCUGAUAUAAUAUAGAUAUAUCAGCUUCCUCCUCAUGUCUAAAUGUGUAAUAGGUAUCAAAUUCAUGAGAGUAGUAAAUGAGCUGCAAUAUAAUAGACUAGAGAAUGAGCCAAGUAUACCUCAUUUGAAACUUCAAAUUUCAGAUUCUCAAAACUAAAGACGUUCGAUCUCUUGCUUUCCUUAUAGUUUUAGGGGGUUAUCGGAAAUGCCAAUUCUUGAAGAUUUGGAAGAAAAUAUAUACACCGUAUUCGAUCUUGUGCUUUGCAUGUGCCUCCUCAUGUCUUAUCUUCAUGAAGGACCGCUCGACCCACUCAUGGUAUCAAGUCGGUGCGAACUCAGUGAGCCAAAGAGAACGAGUCGGAUGAUGACUAGGGCAGUAAUGGUGGUGACCACGUGAGGCUUACGUAGCCUAGAUAUUGGCGUAAAGUGGCUUGGGUUGGGCUGUUUGGGUUUUGAGGCCCACGUUUUCGAUUUUUUCGUAGUGGCGUGUCCCGCGAAACCGAUUUUCUUUUGGGCCAAUUACAUAUAAGUCCACUUUGAGACAUUUUUUCCCACAUAGAUCCACCCUAACAUUUUUACCCACAUAAGUCCACCCAAGUCUAAAUAAGGUUUUGUAUUAAGUAUUGAAGUUCAACAUAAUUACAGACUGCCAUCCAACAAAAAAAAUUAGAUUUUCUUCCUUAUAUUUACAAGAAUGCUACUAGUAUAAAAAGUCAACAACCACUCUCAUUUCGGAACAGUCUCCGGCGGACCUCCAGCGAGAUUUCCAGCAGACCUCCGGCGAGGUUUCAGGCGGACCUCCGGCGAGGUUUUCGGCCGACGUCCGGCGAGAUUUCCGACUGACCUCCGGCGAGGUUUCCGUUCGACUUCCGACGAUGACAAAAAUUACUACUACCAGCUAUAAAAGCUACUACCACCAGCUACAAAAGCUACUACCACCGCCUACAAAAGAUACUACUGUGAGGUUUCCGAUGAACACAAAAGCUACUACCACUAGCCACAAAAACUACUACCACAAGCUACAAAAGCUACUACCACCGCCUACAAAAGCUACUACUGUGAGGUUUCCGACGAACACAAAAACUACUACCACCAGCUACAAAAGCUAUUACCACCGCCUACAAAAGCUACUACCACCGCCUACAAAAGCUACUACUGUGAGGUUUUCGACGAACACAAAAACUACUAGCACCAGCCACAAAAGCUACUACCACCAGCUACAAAAGCUACUAUCACCGCCUACAAAAGCUACUAUUGUGAGGUUUCCGACGAACACAAAAAAUACUACCAUCAGCCACAAAAGCUACUACCACCGCCUACAAAAGCUACUACCACCGCCUACAAAAGCUACUACCGCUACCAACAUAACGCUACCAACAAAAGCUACUACCGAGAUAAACAAAAGCUACUACCGAGAUAAACAAAAGCUACCACCAACAUAAACAAAAGCUACUACCCCUAUAUACAAAAGCUACCACCACAACAAAAGUUAUUACCGACAUAAACAAAAGCUAUUACCAACAUAAACAAAAGCUAUUACCAACAUAAACAAAAGCUACUACCCCUAUAUACAAAAACUACUACUGCCAGACAUAAAAGCUAUUGCCUCCAUCAAUAUAAGCUACUACCGUUACCAACAAAAAAUACUACUCUAACUAACAAAAGCUACUGCUGUCACUGACAAAAACUACUACAAGAUAUUUACUCAACCAUAAAAACAAACAAACAAUUAUUAGAAGAUUAAAGCUUAAGCAUAAAAGGAAAUCAAGAGAAUUGCAGAUCGGAUCCGGCGGCCGACGACGACAGAAAAGACGUCGCUCCGUCGACGGAGCUCCCAUCUUCGCUCGCUGCGGAUGAUGAGUCACGAAAUUCCUCAGCGUUUGACCGAUCAGAAAUACGAUCGAACGCGACUGAUUGGAGAUGAUGAAGGAUGCCUCGCUAGGUCUGCAUUUCUGAGAUCGAAGGACACCUCGUUAGGUCGGCAUAUCCGAGAUCCCAUAGGACUAAACGUAGCGACGACGUUGAGGCCUUCCUCGAGAUUGACGUCGUUCUCCUUGACCGGUGUGCCUCUCAACCAAACCUUCUUCGUCGAGGCCAUCGCUGCCUACCGGAUUAGAUCAUCCACAUCAUUGUUGAGAUCCAGAUCGUCGGCGUCAACUUUAUGGAUCACGCAGAUGCAAAGAUCGCCGUUGCGGUGUCCUUGAGCACGGCGGAGCCACCGUCUCGGUUGACCAUCGUAUGUUUGAGAGAGAGAAAGAGAGGUGUGCGGCGGCGACGUCGUCGGAAUCGGAGGUGGAAGAAUAAGGAGAGAGAAGUCGAGCGAAAGGCAGAAAGAGAAAGGAGAGGGAGAGAGAGAGGUGUGUGAGAGGGAUAAAUUUUUAGUACAGGGGUAAAAUAGUCAGGAUGUAAUAAUUUGAGAAAGAAAAGUGGACUUAUCUGGGUAAAAAAAUCAGAGUGAACUUGUGUGGGAGAAAAUACGGAGAAUGUGACUUAAAUGAAAUUUUCUAUUUUCUUUUCACGUGGGGCCAGCGCGUGACCAAGACCUACAAGUUGUUCAAAGACCUACAAGUUGAACACUUUUGGGGGAAGAAGAUGGAGGCAUAGUUGGGUGAUGCAUGGUCCUCUGUGCAUUUCAGAAAAGAUCGAUCCCACUCUUCUUUUUACAGAACCAUGCAUGUGCCCUCUUAUAUCACUUUCUUCUUGCAUUAUUGGGUGGUGCUUGCUUAGAUGCAUCAAUGCAUUAGAAACUUGAUCAACGUUGAUGAAUAUGUAUAUGUAUGUCACUAACUCUAAAGUAUGUUUUAAUUAAACCUGAUUUAGCUGACAUGAUCUCUCGAUGUGAAUUAGUCUGGGUCUAAAAAGAAGAUACUGACGUUGAUAAUCUAAAAAAAAAAUUAAACCUGGUUUAGUGCAUACUCUUUGUACUUUGCUCUAAAAUAGGAGCGCUAUUUUAUAUUUUUUUUCAGCUGUCUUCACUUAUCUUUUCUAAUAAAUAGCAAACGAAUGCGCACCAUUGUGAGAUCACGCUAGCCUAAUUUUCUUCUCGAGUUUAUCUAGCUUUUCUCUCAAUACCUCUCUAUCGCUGACAUUGAGCUAGCUAGCAGUUGAGACUCAGUCUCCUUGUAUUCUUUGUUAAAUACUUCACUAUCUACUCUCUAUUGCUACACCCAAAACAAAAGUUGAACUUACACCAUACCAUGGAAGGAUUGGAAGCUAAGUCCUCGACCCACCAGAAACUGAAACCACCCCACGUCGUCAUUGUCCCAACUCCGGGAUUAGGCCAUCUGAUCCCCCUCGUCGAGCUAGCGCAACGCCUCGUCGUCCACCACAACUUCACCGUCACCUUCUUCAUCCCCAACGACGGGUCGCAGCUGCAACCUCAGAAGAAACUCCUUGAAGCCUUGCCUCAAGCCAUAUCCUAUCACUUCCUCCCUCAAGUGAACUUCGACGACCUCCCUCAUGACGUCCAAUUCGAGAUGAAAAUCAUACUCACCUUGACUCGUUCACUGUCUGCUCUGCGUGACGCGGUUAAGCUCCUCGCCGAUUCAACUCGGGUUGUAGCUCUAGUGGCGGAUAUUUUUGGCUGGGAAGCCUUUGAUGUAGCCAAAGAGUUUAACCUCCUCUUUUACUAUUUCUUCAGUUCGAACGCUAUGGGGUUGUGGUUUGUGUUCGAGUUGCCAAAGCUCGAUGAAACCACCUCAUGCGAGUAUAGGGAUCUGCCGGAACCGAUCCACCUUCCGGGUUGCGUGCCGCUCCACGGUCCUGAUUUUGUAAUGCUGGUUCAAGAAAGGUCUAACGAGGCCUAUAGAGCGGCGGUGAACCUGAGCAAGUGGUAUAGGUCGGCAAAUGGGAUCAUUGUGAAUAGCUUUGCUGAUUUGGAACCCGGUGCCUUGAAGGCUUUCAGUGAGCAACGACAAGUUCUUGGUAUUC
rnacentral:lncRNA from 1 species